rnacentral:rRNA from 1 species
GUGAGGAAUAUUGCGCAAUGGAGGCAACUCUGACGCAGCCAUGCCGCGUGCAGGAAGAAGGCGCUACGCGUUGUAAACUGCUUUUAACCGGGAAGAAACCCCAGGACGUGUCCUGGGUUGACGGUACCGGAGGAAUAAGCACCGGCUAACUUCGUGCCAGCAGCCGCGGUAAUACGAAGGGUGCAAGCGUUAUCCGGAUUCAUUGGGUUUAAAGGGUGCGUAGGCGGAGCGUUAAGUCAGUGGUGAAAUCCUGCAGCUUAACUGUAGACUUGCCAUUGAUACUGGCGCUCUUGAGUGCGCUUGAAGGGGGCGGAAUGUGCCGUGUAGCGGUGAAAUGCUUAGAUAUGGCACAGAACACCAAUUGCGAAGGCAGCUCACUAAGGCGAUACUGACGCUGAGGCACGAAAGCGUGGGGAUCGAACAGGAUUAGAUAUCCUAGUAGUCC